CACGUAGGGGGCGAGCGUUGUCCGGAUUUAUUGGGCGUAAAGAGCUCGUAGGCGGCUCGGUAAGUGAGGUGUGAAAUCCCUCGGCUCAACCGAGGAACUGCGCUCAAUACUACCGUGCUCGAGGGAGAUAGAGGUGAGCGGAACUUAGGGUGGAGCGGUGAAAUGCGUUGAUAUCCUAAGGAACACCGGUGGCGAAAGCGGCUCACUGGAUCUCUUCUGACGCUGAGGCACGAAAGCUAGGGUAGCAAACGGG
rnacentral:rRNA from 1 species